GUAGGUGGCAAGCGUUGUCCGGAAUUAUUGGGCGUAAAGCGCGCGCAGGCGGGUCCUUUAAGUCUGAUGCGAAAGCCCACGGGCUCAACCGUGGAGGGUCAUUGGAAACUGGGGGACUUGAGUACAGAAGAGGAAAGCGGAAUUCCAAGUGUAGCGGUGAAAUGCGUAGAGAUUUGGAGGAACACCAGUGGCGAAGGCGGCUUUCUGGUCUGUAACUGACGCUGAGGCGCGAAAGCGUGGGGAGCAAACAGGAUUAGAUACCCUGGUAGUCCACGCCGUAAACGAUGAGUGCUAAGUGUUAGGGGGUUUCCGCCCCUUAGUGCUGCAGCUAACGCAUUAAGCACUCCGCCUGGGGAGUACGGCCGCAAAGGCUG
rnacentral:rRNA from 1 species